AAGCGAGGCUGUUAAUACUCCAUCAUGAGGUUCCUACGAUGCAUCGAGAGCGUGUGUCUGCUGCUGCUCGCUGCUACAAGCGCCGUCGAUGCGCUUGCGGAUCCUGUUCAGGAAACCGUAGCUCAGGUCACCUCGCGGGAUGCUAAGAACAUUGUCGAAACGACCUCGUAUCCCAGCUACUCGAAACCGGCUACUUUUACCUACUAUUAGCUAUUCUACUGUAAAAUAUCACGGCUACUCGAACCUCUACUCAAAGAACAUAUUUACUCCCUUCAAUAAAAAUUUCAGCAAAAUAACUAUCGGCCAAGCUCAUGACACAUAACAAAAUGAGAAAGAAAUUGAACUCCAAUUAUAUUUUAAAAUAAACAAACACGAAAGCCGAAUA